AGGGCUGUGGCUCCGUGGCAGAGCAUCUGAUUCAUGUUCAGAAGGUCCCAGGUUCAGUCCCCAGCAUCUUCA